rnacentral:rRNA from 1 species
CGGACGGGUGCGUAACGCGUAGGAAUCUGCCUAUUAGUGGGGGACAACGUGGUGAAAACCACGCUAAUACCGCAUACGCCCUACGGGGGAAAGCGGGGGAUCUUCGGACCUCGCGCUAAUAGAUGAGCCUGCGUUAGAUUAGCUAGUUGGUGAGGUAAUGGCUCACCAAGGCGACGAUCUAUAGCUGGUCUGAGAGGACGAUCAGCCACACUGGGACUGAGACACGGCCCAG